rnacentral:rRNA from 1 species
UGGGGAAUAUUGCACAAUGGGCGCAAGCCUGAUGCAGCCAUGCCGCGUGUAUGAAGAAGGCCUUCGGGUUGUAAAGUACUUUCAGCGGGGAGGAAGGCGAUGAGGUUAAUAACCCUGUCGAUUGACGUUACCCGCAGAAGAAGCACCGGCUAACUCCGUGCCAGCAGCCGCGGUAAUACGGAGGGUGCAAGCGUUAAUCGGAAUUACUGGGCGUAAAGCGCACGCAGGCGGUCUGUUAAGUCAGAUGUGAAAUCCCCGGGCUUAACCUGGGAACUGCAUUUGAAACUGGCAGGCUUGAGUCUUGUAGAGGGGGGCUAGAAUUCCAGGUGUAGCGGUGAAAUGCGUAGAGAUCUGGAGGAAUACCGGUGGCGAAGGCGGCCCCCUGGACAAAGACUGACGCUCAGGUGCGAAAGCGUGGGGCAGCAAACAGGAUUAGAUACCCUGGUAGUCCACGCCGUAAACGAUGUCGACUUGGAGGUUGUUCCCUUGAGGAGUGGCUUCCGGAGCUAACGCGUUAAGUCGACCGCCUGGGGAGUACGGCCGCAAGGUUAAAA